rnacentral:lncRNA from 1 species
CAAAAAUCACUCAGAGGUAAUGGCUAUUGACCUUUUUUUUUUUUUUUUUUUUAGCAUUGACCAUUUUCAUGAAGUUCAGCCUAACCAAGUGAGCCACCUAAGUGCCCUCAGUCCUUUUUUUAAAAAUUCAGUUUAUUUAAACAAACAGUUAUCCAUUGGCACAAUAAUCUGAUGACAAACCACCUGAAGACUUACUCUCACCGCUCAC